rnacentral:rRNA from 1 species
UACGUAGGGGGCAAGCGUUGUCCGGAUUUAUUGGGCGUAAAGAGCGUGUAGGCGGUUUGGUAGGUCCGCUGUGAAAACUCGAGCUCACCUCGAGACGCCGGUGGAAACCAUCAGACUAGAGUCCGGAAGAGGAGAGUGGAAUUCCUGGUGUAGCGGUGAAAUGCGCAGAUAUCAGGAAGAACACCCGUGGCUAAGGCGGCUCUCUAGUACGGUACUGGACGCUGAGACGCGAAAGCGUGGGGAGCGAACAGG